GCCCGGGUGGUGAAAUAGGUAGACACAAGGGACUUAAAAUCCCUCGAUCCAUUAAACGAUCGUACCGGUUCGAUUCCGGUUCCGGGCACCA
rnacentral:tRNA from 1 species